CAAUAGCGUGUAUUAAAGUUGUUGCGGUAAAAAAGCUCGUAGUUGGAUUUCUACCGAAGAUAGCCGGUCGGGUCUUCGACCUUGUAUCUGGUUUUGUCUUUGGUAUCCUCAUAGGGAACGUUUCUGCGCUUUAUUGCGUGGUGCGGUAUCUAUGACUUUUACUUUGAGGAAAUUAGAGUGUUCACGGCAGGCAAACGCCUUGAAUAUAUUAGCAUGGAAUAAUAACAUAGGAUCUUCGUCCUAUUUUGUUGGUUUCUAGGGCUAAGAUAAUGAUUAAUAGGGAUAAUUGGGGGCAUCUGUAUCAACGCGUCAGAGGUGGAAUUCUUGGAUUGCGUUGCGACAAACUACUGCGAAAGCAUUUGCCAAGGAUGUUUUCAUUGA
rnacentral:rRNA from 1 species